rnacentral:rRNA from 1 species
ACGGCUCAGUAACACGUAGUCAACAUGCCCAGGGGACGUGGAUAACCUCGGGAAACUGAGGAUAAACCACGAUAAGUCACUACUUCUGGAAUGGGUAAUGACUCAAAUCUACAUGGCCCCAGGAUUGGACUGCGGCCGAUCAGGCUGUUGGUGAGGUAAUGGCCCACCAAACCUGUAACCGGUACGGGCUCUGAGAGGAGGAGCCCGGAGAUGGGCACUGAGACAAGGGCCCAGGCCCUAUGGGGCGCAGCAGGCGCGAAACCUCUGCAAUAGGCGAAAGCCUGACGGGGUUACUCUGAGUGAUUUCCGUUAAGGAGAUCUUUUGGCACCUCUAAAAAUGGUGCAGAAUAAGGGGUGGGCAAGUCUGGUGUCAGCCGCCGCGGUAAUACCAGCACCCCGAGUGGUCGGGACGUUUAUUGGGCCUAAAGCAUCCGUAGCCGGUUCUACAAGUCUUCCGUUAAAUCCACCUGCUUAACAGAUGGGCUGCGGAAGAUACUAUAGAGCUAGGAGGCGGGAGAGGCAAGCGGUACUCGAUGGGUAGGGGUAAAAUCCGUUGAUCCAUUGAAGACCACCAGUGGCGAAGGCGGCUUGCCAGAACGCGCUCGACGGUGAGGGAUGAAAGCUGGGGGAGCAAACCGGAUUAGAUACCCGGGUAGUCCCAGCUGUAAACGAUGCAGACUCGGUGAUGAGUUGGCUUUAUGCCAACUCAGUGCCGCAGGGAAGCCGUUAAGUUUGCCGCCUGGGGAGUACGGUCGCAAGACUGAAACUUAAAGGAAUUGGCGGGGGAG